rnacentral:rRNA from 1 species
GAUGAACGCUGGCGGCGUGCCUAAUACAUGCAAGUCGAGCGAACAGACGAGGAGCUUGCUCCUCUGACGUUAGCGGCGGACGGGUGAGUAACACGUGGAUAACCUACCUAUAAGACUGGGAUAACUUCGGGAAACCGGAGCUAAUACCGGAUAAUAUAUUGAACCGCAUGGUUCAAUAGUGAAAGACGGUUUUGCUGUCACUUAUAGAUGGAUCCGCGCCGCAUUAGCUAGUUGGUAAGGUAACGGCUUACCAAGGCAACGAUGCGUAGCCGACCUGAGAGGGUGGUCGGCCACACGGGAAGUGAGACACGGUCCAGACUCCUGCGGGAGGCAGCAGUAGGGAAUCUGCCGCAAUGGGCGAAAGCCUGACGGAGCAACGCCGCGGGAGUGAUGAAGGUCUUCGGAUCGUAAAACUCUGUUAUUAGGGAAGAACAAAUGUGUAAGUAACUAUUCACGUCUUGACGGUACCUAAUCAGAAAGCCACGGCUAACUACGUG